AUGGGGCUGUCUCAAAGGGGCUUUUCCUGCAACCACACAUCAUUGGAAAUCCUUCCCAGAGUAACUCUGUGGUUUUGCUUUACUCACAGGACUGAUUUGUAAUCUGUGGGAGGGACUGCAAGGCAGUC